CCUGGAAUGUGCAAACAAGUAAUGCGCUUGGCUGCUAACCAAAAGGUUGGUGGUUUGAGUCCACUUAGGA
rnacentral:tRNA from 1 species